rnacentral:rRNA from 1 species
UCGAGAAUUUUUCUCAAUGGGGGAAACCCUGAAGGAGCGACGCCGCGUGGAGGAUGAAGGUCUUCGGAUCGUAAACUCCUGUCAUUUGAGAACAAGUGUGGCCCGGUAACUACGGGUCACUUGAUAGUAUCAGAAGAGGAAGAGGCGGCUAACUCUGUGCCAGCAGCCGCGGUAAUACAGAGGCCUCAAGCGUUGUUCGGAUUCAUUGGGCGUAAAGGGUGCGUAGGCGGUUCCGUUAGUCGGAUGUGAAAUCCUGGGGCUCAACCCAGAACUGCAUUCGAUACUGCGGGGCUAGAGGACUGGAGAGGAGAGUGGAAUUCACGGUGUAGCAGUGAAAUGCGUAGAUAUCGUGAAGAACACCAAAGGCGAAAGCACUCUGCUGGGCCGAGACUGACACUGAGGGACGAAAGCUAGGGGAGCGAA